UACGGGGGGGGCAAGCGUUGUUCGGAAUUACUGGGCGUAAAGGGCUCGUAGGCGGCCAACUAAGUCGGAUGUGAAAUCCCCAGGCUUAACCUGGGAACUGCAUCCGAUACUGGAUGGCUUGAAUCCGGGAGAGGGAUGCAGAAUUCCAGGUGUAGCGGUGAAAUGCGCAGAUAUCAGGAGGAACACCAACGGCGAAGGCAGCUCGCUGGGACGGUACUGACGCUGAGGCGCGAAAGCGUGGGGAGCGAACAGG
rnacentral:rRNA from 1 species